GACGAACGCUGGCGGCGUGCUUAACACAUGCAAGUCGAACGAAGAGCGACGGAAUCUUGCUUCUAUCACUAUUAGUGGCGAACGGGUGAGUAACGCGUAAUCAACCUGCCCUUCAGAGGGGGACAACAGUUGGAAACGACUUCUAAUACCACAUACGAUCUAACCUCGGCAUCGAGGAUAGAUGAAAGGUGGCCUCUACAUGUAAGCUAUCACUGAAGGAGGGGAUUGCGUCUGAUUAGCUAGUUGGAGGGGUAACGUCCCACCAAGGCGAUGAUCAGUAGCCGGUCUGAGAGGAUGAAAGGCCACAUUGGGACGGAGACACGGCCCAGAAUCCUGCGGGAGGCAGAAGUGGGGAAUCUUCCGCAAUGGACGAAAGUCUGACGGAGCAACGCCGCGUGAGUGAUGACGGCCGUCGGGUUGUAAAGCUCUGUUAAUCGGGACGAAAGGCCUUCUUGCGAAUAGGGAGAAGGAUUGACGGUACCGGAAUAGAAAGCCACGGCUAACUACGUG
rnacentral:rRNA from 1 species